rnacentral:lncRNA from 1 species
CGGGAAGGGAUAAUUGAAACUGAAGCGGCCAGAGAGCGGACAAGUAGCCAUCGAAGGCGGAUGUGGAAGGCCAGACGUCACCAACGGCGACGGAGUCCUUCUGCGUGCGCGCCAGGACCCUCUUGUAGGAUUGAAUGUACAAGAACAGCAACAGAUCCUGCAAGUCGACGGCCGUGGGUUGCUCGGGCUCUGUAGAGACUCCGAGAUCGCCGCCGGAGGAGAGCUCAACAGGCUUCUGCUUCACCGAAAUUAUUCUCUGC